rnacentral:tRNA from 1 species
AGGAUAAGAGUUAUUAUAACGUCUAACUUGCACUUAGGAAAUACUGAAUUUCAGUUUAUCUUA